UGCUCUCUACUUCAUUCUUUUAAUAACUAUACAGUUUGCUAAUGUUACGCUGGAGUAUCCCAGUGCUUAAAAAUAUAAUACACUUGGCUGGGUGCAGUGGCUCACGCCCGUAAUCCCAGCACUUUGGUAGGCCAAGGCUGGUCUCGAAUUCCUGACCUGAAGUGAUCCACCCACCUUGGCCUCCCAAAGUGCUGGAAUUACAGGCGUUAGCUGCCACACCAGGCCCCAAAAAUGUAAAAAUUAGCUGGGCAUUAUGGCAUGCACCUGUAGUCCCAGGUACCCAGGCACUUGGGGGCACAGGUGGAGGAUUGCUUGAGCCAGGGAGGUCAAGGCUGCAGGGGGCUAUGAGUGUGCGACUGCAUUCCAGCCUGGGCAACAAAGUGAGACCCUGUCUCAAGGCA
rnacentral:lncRNA from 10 species